rnacentral:lncRNA from 1 species
CUCUUCUCUCCCGGGGAGCGCGCGUCCUCCCCGGGCCGGGCGCCCGAGGGCCCCACGCGCCAAGGACGUAGGCUGUAUUUUGAGAGUUAGUUGCGAGCAACUCUUCGCCCUUAAGUAUUGCCGACAUGUGACCCACGCAAGUGACAAUUUCUUGCCUAAUAUCUCACUGUCACAGUGAAAUACUGUGACUAAGUCACAACUCAUAGAGAAAACUGAACGGUGCAUUGUAAAAUAGGACACAAAACAAAAGACUUCAUCUGAGAGCUGAGAUCAUCGCAGCCAGAGUACACAGACCCACUGCAGUAAUUCAACAGUGUUUCUCAGAGCCCAAGACAGUUUCUGCAAUUCUUGGAAUUUGUUUUAAGGACUUAACAUUCUUUAAGUACAUGUGUAUGGGAACAUAUGAUGAGAGAGAUGGAAGAGAAGUGAGAGAUAAGCAGAUGAAUACAGUGAAGAGAAAGAGUUAAACUUGAUUUUGUAGUGAUGUGGAUCAUAGUGGCAGUUGGAGAAAAUACAGCAAGUUGGCCACGAGACCAAGUCUUAUCUGAAGACCACUGCCGUUGGUAGCUGUAAGUUAUGAUCAUGAUCAAAAAGUACAGCUAGAUAGGAAAUACAAACAACUGAGACAAAAACUAUGAUCGAUAGGCUCCACCAUUUCCAAGUGUGUAGCCUGAAGUCCCUGCCUUCAGGUGACCAUAGGGAUCACAGGUAGAGAAAUUUGUGGUGUGAUUGGCUAAAGAUAAAUGUGUGUGUGUGUGUGUGUGUGUGUGUGUGUGUGUAUGUUUGUGUAUUUAUAUAGUCUUAACAUUAUUAUAGUUAUUGGCUUCCAUAGAUUUGUUUAGUUAAUUCCUUUUAAAAUUGUAAUGAAGACUUUUGUGGAGGUUGAAUGAUGAAAGCAUCUGGAAAAAUGUUGUGGCCUUAAUUCAAGCCAGAUUGGAUCAAUAAUUCUAAAGACAAAACUAUAGCUGUUACCAAGCCUGAAACCUUGAGGGAAACAGAAUUUUGCAGCUUUAGGCCACUGGGAAUAAGAAAACAUUGUUUUACAGUGUGUUUAUGGUUUGAAAUUUUGACAGCUGCUCCAGUAUAAGUCUCAACUCUUCUGCCAGCUGACAGACACAUCCUGCUAGAGAUGAAGCAGUGGCUUCAUAUAGUUUUUUGACUUCUUUAGCCCAUCUCGCCAUCUCGCCAAAUCAAAAUCUAGCAAGGUGACUUUUGUCUUUUCUACCUCAUUAUCCUAAAUUGUGAAGAAAAUUUUAAGAUUGUAAAUUCCAGAUGUGAACAUUUCAGAGAUCAAAUUUCUAUAACUCACAGUCAUGCCGCAAGACAAUAAUACAUGAG